rnacentral:lncRNA from 1 species
ACAGACGUGACAUUACACGUCGUUACUUUCAUAAGUUACUUAAAAAGUUUAACAACAGAGAUUGGAUAAAAAGUUAACUGUUUUUACAGAAUUUCAGCCGAAGUUUUCAUGCUGGCCAACUAGGUGCUCAUGACAUUAGAAAUGAAAUGGUCUAAUCUAAUAAUGCAAGCUCACAACCUGUCUUCUGAAGCAAAAUAAUUUUUGUUGCAAGUUAUAGAUCUUCAAGAUAUUGAUGCCUUUGCCAGAUCCAAUUCUUUGCUGCUAUCUAUUUUGGGGACAACAGCGAGAAAAUGGUGCUACUCAAGAUUAUGUGGUGUUCUUAGUUCUAAUUUAGGACAAUGUUAAUCCCUCUCCAAUGUUCUAGUUGCUUGGAAACCGACGAGAGAUUGCUGGAAUUGAA